GAUGAACGCUGGCGGCGUGCCUAAUACAUGCAAGUCGAGCGAACAGACGAGGAGCUUGCUCCUCUGACGUUAGCGGCGGACGGGUGAGUAACACGUGGAUAACCUACCUAUAAGACUGGGAUAACUUCGGGAAACCGGAGCUAAUACCGGAUAACAUGUUGAACCGCAUGGUUCAACAGUGAAAGACGGUCUUGCUGUCACUUAUAGAUGGAUCCGCGCCGCAUUAGCUAGUUGGUAAGGUAACGGCUUACCAAGGCAACGAUGCGUAGCCGACCUGAGAGGGUGAUCGGCCCCCCUGGACCUGAAACCCGGUCCAACCCCCUACGGGGGGCCGCAUUGGGAAAUCUUCCGCAAUGGGCGAAAGCCUGCCGGAGCAACGCCGCGUGGGUAAAGAAGGUUUUCGGAUCGUAAAACUCUUUUAUUAGGGAAGAACAAAUUUGUAAGUCACUAUGCCCUUUUUGACGGUACCUAAUCAAAAAGCCCCGGCUAACUACGU
rnacentral:rRNA from 1 species